rnacentral:rRNA from 1 species
ACUCAAAUGAAUUGACGGGGGCCCGCACAAGCGGUGGAGCAUGUGGUUCAAUUCGAAGCAACGCGCAGAACCUUACCAGCCCUUGACAUGUCCCGUAUGGACUUCAGAGAUGAGGUCCUUCAGUUCGGCUGGCGGGAACACAGGUGCUGCAUGGCUGUCGUCAGCUCGUGUCGUGAGAUGUUGGGUUAAGUCCCGCAACGAGCGCAACCCUCGCCCUUAGUUGCCAUCAUUUAGUUGGGCACUCUAAGGGGACUGCCGGUGAUAAGCCGCGAGGAAGGUGGGGAUGACGUCAAGUCCUCAUGGCCCUUACGGGCUGGGCUACACACGUGCUACAAUGGCGGUGACAGUGGGCAGCAAAGCAGCAAUGCUGAGCUAAUCUCUAAAAGCCGUCUCAGUUCGGAUUGGGGCCUGCAACUCGGCCCCAUGAAGUCGGAAUCGCUAGUAAUCGUAGAUCAGCACGCUACGGUGAAUACGUUCCCGGGCCUUGUACACACCGCCCGU